GUUUUGGGGCCCACAGUUCCGUCUGUAGGUCUCUAUGCCAUCGCUGCUCUCCUGCUAAUCACACACAGUGUGGGUAGGCGUCACUGUCUUAGAAUCUCCAUUAUCCACUUACAAGCAUUACUGGGCAGUUCCAGUAUGAGAAAUGCAGGAAAAUCAGUGGUAUAAUUAAUGAGAAACCAACUCAUGCCUGAAGAUUCAUUUCCUGUGCUUAUAGGUGUGGAAUCCGGAAGCUGCUGUUUUUAUUCAGAGGCCACAAGUCCUGAUGCUCUCUCUUCGAUUCCAGGGCACACUCUGGCAAUGCAACUCUGGGUGCUGUUAGAUAGGCAGCUCUCCCAGAUUGAAGAAUUAUAUCACUGUUUCUUAGACUUUUCUCACUUUCCACUGAGGAAAGGUGAUUGAUUCUUCUCGGAUUGGCAUAUACUAUUUACUGAAAGAAUUUUUUAAAUAUUGAUUAAAAUACUACACUGAAUUAUUUUACUUUCCUUUAUAUGCUUCUUUAAUUUUUUACUACAACAUAU